rnacentral:misc_RNA from 1 species
AACGGUCUAUACCUGCGGUACCUGCGGAGGGAUCAUUAUCAAUUUAGCGAACCGAGCGUUAGCGAGGUUUUGCGAUCAAAUUUGUAUUUAAAACCCAACUCUUUAAUGUUAUAUAUUAAUUAUAUGAAUCAUAUAAAAAAAGAUAACUUUCAGCAACGGAUCUCU